rnacentral:rRNA from 1 species
CAGUCGCCGCGGUAAUACGUAGGGUGCGAGCGUUAAUCGGAAUUACUGGGCGUAAAGCGUGCGCAGGCGGUGAUGUAAGACAGUUGUGAAAUCCCCGGGCUCAACCUGGGAACUGCAUCUGUGACUGCAUCGCUGGAGUGCGGCAGAGGGGGAUGGAAUUCCGCGUGUAGCAGUGAAAUGCGUAGAUAUGCGGAGGAACACCGAUGGCGAAGGCAAUCCCCUGGGCCUGCACUGACGCUCAUGCACGAAAGCGUGGGGAGCAAACAGGAUUAGAUACCCGUGUAGUCCCUGUCUCUUAUAC